GACAGAGGGGGCAAGCGUUGCUCGGAAUCACUGGGCGUAAAGGGCGCGUAGGCGGGAUGGCAAGUCGGUCGUGAAAUCCUUCGGCUCAACCGAAGAACGUCGGCCGAUACUGCCGUUCUUGAGGGAUGCAGAGGAGAUUGGAAUUCCCGGUGUAGCGGUGAAAUGCGUAGAUAUCGAGAGGAACACCUGCGGCGAAGGCGGGUUGCUGGGCUGAUACUGACGCUGAGGCGCGAAAGCCAGGGGAGCGAACGGGG
rnacentral:rRNA from 1 species